rnacentral:lncRNA from 1 species
UAAAUUAAAUUAAGGAAAAACUUGAUCCCUGUAGUUUAACAUUUUCUCACUUUAGUAUUCUAUGAUUUAAAGUGUAUCACUUUCAUACUUUGUGAUUUUAUUUUUCUCUUUUUGUUAUACUCUCUACUAAAUUUUUUUUGUUAAAUCGGUGACAAAGUUAAAACUAAAAGAUACUAAAGUAAAUAUUUGAUAAAUUAUAGGUAGGUAUCUGAAGUUUUUUAUAUGUGAUUUAACGAAAAGUUAACGGAGGGGCUAACGAAAAGAGAAAAAUAAAACUAUAGGGGUACUAAAUUGAUACACUUUAAAUCACUGGAUAAUAAAGUGAAAAAGUAUGGAAUUACAUGAAUGGUAUUUGAAGUUUACCCAGCUAAUAUGUUAUUAAAUUAAUAUGUUUGGUCGAAUUAUUAUGGAAAUUAUUUUAUGCUCAUUGCUUCGAUUCAUAUAUACCUUAAAUUCGAUGUGAGAGGCUAAUAAAUUGCAAAACAAUUCGACUUGUUUAGACUCCUGCACAUUUCUAAACAUACUAUAACUAAGAUAGUAAGAUCUAAACUUAUGUGUUUUUAGAAGUACAAUGGUCUCCGCAUUAUCAAGUUGUUUUCAAUGUUAGAAUUUCUGAAUCAACAAUCGAUUUCGUUAAAUUUAUAAAUAAAUUUUGUGAUCAAAGAAGCCCAAACUCAACAAUUUCAAUAGUUGUAAUAAGCCGUUUGUAAGUUUAAUAAUAUAAAAAUAUUCAAAUCAUGUAAAAUUUUGAUAGAAAUAUUUUUAUACUAUAUAAAACAUGAUUAAUAAUUUUGAUCUAAAAUUUUAAUAUCAUAUCAUCAUUUUUGUAAGAUUUUUAUUAUAGCUGCUGAUUUCGAGCUAUUUAUAUCACUAGAUAAAUGAAACCGAAAAAAAUAGUAUUAAAAUUUAUUUUUUAGUUCGUAAUUUAGUGAAAAAAAAAAAUU